UGGGGAAUAUUGCACAAUGGGCGCAAGCCUGAUGCAGCCACGCCGCGUGUGUGAAGAAGGCCUUCGGGUUGUAAAGCACUUUCAGCGGGGAGGAAGGCGAUAAGGUUAAUAACCUUGUCGAUUGACGUUACCCGCAGAAGAAGCACCGGCUAACUCCGUGCCAGCAGCCGCGGUAAUACGGAGGGUGCAAGCGUUAAUCGGAAUUACUGGGCGUAAAGCGCACGCAGGCGGUCUGUCAAGUCGGAUGUGAAAUCCCCGGGCUCAACCUGGGAACUGCAUUCGAAACUGGCAGGCUAGAGUCUUGUAGAGGGGGGUAGAAUUCCAGGUGUAGCGGUGAAAUGCGUAGAGAUCUGGAGGAAUACCGGUGGCGAAGGCGGCCCCCUGGACAAAGACUGACGCUCAGGUGCGAAAGCGUGGGGAGCAAACAGG
rnacentral:rRNA from 1 species